rnacentral:misc_RNA from 1 species
CUGCCCUCAAGCACGGCUUGUGUGUUGGGCCCCGUCCUCCGCUCCCGGGGGACGGGCCCGAAAGGCAGCGGCGGCACCGCGUCCGGUCCUCGAGCGUAUGGGGCUUUGUCACCCGCUCUGUAGGCCCGGCCGGCGCUUGCCGAUCAACCAAACUUUUAUCCAGG